rnacentral:rRNA from 1 species
AUUGAACGCUGGCGGCAUGCUUUACACAUGCAAGUCGGACGAGUGGCGAACGGGUGAGUAACAUAUCGGAACGUACCGAGUAAUGGGGGAUAACUAAUCGAAAGAUUAGCUAAUACCGCAUAUUAUUCGAGCGGCCGAUAUCUGAUUAGCUGGUUGGUGGGGUAAAGGCCUACCAAGGCGACGAUCAGUAGCGGGUCUGAGAGGAUGAUCCGCCACACUGGGACUGAGACACGGCCCAGACUCGUACGGGAGGCAGCAGUGGGGAAUUUUGGACAAUGGGCGCAAGCCUGAUCCAGCCAUGCCGCGUGUCUGAAGAAGGCCUUCGGGUUGUAAACUGCUUUUGUAUGGGGAUAGGUACCAUACGAAUAAGGACCGGCUAAUUCCGUGCCAGCAGCCGCGGUAAUUC